rnacentral:rRNA from 1 species
ACUCUAGUUGAUCCUGCUAGAGGACACUGCUAUCGGCUUGGGGUUAAGACAUGCAAGUGGUACGGACCAGCAUCCUGGCCCGUCGCGUACGGCUCAGUAGUGUCGCUAACCUACCCUGUGGAGGCAGACAACGCCGGGAAACUGGCGCUAAUCUGCCGUAGGAGCUUCGUUCUGGAAAUGAUGUAGCUCUCAGAUGGAUGACCCAGGCAUGCGGGCCUCUCCGCCACAGGACGGGGCGCCACCGGAUCAUACUUGUAAGUGGGGUAACGGCCCACUUAGGUUGUGACCCGAUCGGGCGAUGUAAGUCGUGGCCCGGAGAAGGGAACUGAGACAAGGUCCCUAGCCCCACGGGGUGCAGCAGUUACGAAACCUCACCAAUGCGCGAAAGCGUGAGUGGGCCAAGCCGAGUGAUGGGGGAUAACUCCAUCUGUGAUGGCUUUCCAAGGAGAACCAUCAGAAAGGAGAGGGCAAGGCUGGUGCCAGCCGCCGCGGUAAAACCAGCUCUUCGAGUGGUGUCCACAAUUAUUGAGCUUAAAGCGUCCGUAGCCUGUUCGGUAGGUCCCUGCUUAAAUCCGCUCGCCCAACGAACGGAACCGUAGGGAUACCACCUUACUUGGGGACGGGAGACGACGACGGUAUUUUACAAGUAGGGGUGAAAUCCUGUGAUUUGUAAAAGACCACCAGUGGCGAAGGCGGUCGUCGAGAACGUGCCCGACGGUGAGGGACGAAACCCAGGGGAGCGAAUCGGAUUAGAUACCCGAGUAGUCCUGGGUGUAAACAAUGCCCGUUAAGUGUUGCAUUGGCCACGAGCCACUGCAGUGCUGAAGCGAAAGCGAUAAACGGGCCGCUUGGGAAGUACGGCCGCAAGGCUGAAACUUAAAGGAAUUGGCGGGGGCUUACCACAAGGCGUGAAGCUUGCGGUUCAAUCAGACUCAACGCUCAAAAACUUACCCGGACUGGCUUUAGGAUGAGAGCCAGGUUGACGACCUUGCUCGACAGGAAGCCCUCUGGUGCAUGGCCAUCGCAAAUUCGUGCCGUGAGGUAUCAGCUUAAGUGCUGCAACGAAUGAGACCCUGUCUGCUAGUUGCCAGCCAGAGACGCAAGUCUUGUUGGGGCACACUGGCGGGACCGGUGCCGAAAAGGCACAGGAAGGUAGGGCCACGGUAGGUCCGUAUGCCGACAUGUGUCCGGGGCCACACGCGAGCUGCAAUGGGUGCGACAAUGCGUCACGACACCGAGAGGUGAAGUCAAUCGCGAAACGCACUCGUAGUUGGGAUCGUGGGUUGGAACUCACCCACUUGAACCUGGAAUGCCUAGUAUCCGCGUGUCACUAGCGCGCGGAGAAUACGUCCCUGAGUCUUGCACACACCGCCCGUCGCUCCAUGCGAGCGGCAUUGGGGUGAGGCGGCGCCCACCGGGCGUCUACGAAUCUUGAUGCCGCAAGUAGGGAGAAGUCGUAACAAGGUAUCCGUAGCGGAAGCUGCGGAUGGAUCACCUCCUUUC